UACGGGGGGGGGCAAGCGUUGUUCGGAAUUACUGGGCGUAAAGGGCGCGUAGGCGGCUCGUCAAGUCGGGGCGUGAAAUCUCCAGGCUUUAACCUGGAAAAGUCGUUCGAUACUGUUUGAGCUAGAGUGUGGAAGAGGCUACUGGAAUUCCGUGUGUAGCGGUGAAAUGCGUAGAUAUACGGAGGAACACCAGCGGCGAAGGCGGGUCUCUGGGCCGAUACUGACGCUGAGGAGGCGAAAAGCGUGGGGAGCGAACAGG
rnacentral:rRNA from 1 species